GGGAUCAUAGAUUAAUAGGUAAAUCACUCGCUUUGCAUGCGUGAAAUACCGGUUCAAUUCCGGUUGAUUCCA
rnacentral:tRNA from 2 species